rnacentral:rRNA from 1 species
UACGUAGGGUGCAAGCGUUGUCCGGAAUUAUUGGGCGUAAAGAGCUCGUAGGCGGUCUGUCGCGUCGGCUGUGAAAUCCCGAGGCUCAACCUCGGGUCUGCAGUCGAUACGGGCAAACUUGAGUGUUGCAGGGGAGACUGGAAUUCCUGGUGUAGCGGUGAAAUGCGCAGAUAUCAGGAGGAACACCGGUGGCGAAGGCGGAUCUCUGGGCCUUACCUGACGCUGAGGCGCGAAAGCUAGGGGAGCAAACAGG